AUGCUAGAUCUAUUUUAUUUUGUUAAGGAGAAAGGGAUGCCUUGAUUGUCGUAUUGAUUUUCUUCUUCUUUUUGUUCCAAAAGAUUGAAACUGAAGAGCUGGAAGGAGGACAUUACAACAUCUCUUAUAUUUGCAAGAUGAAGCAGAAAGUCCCAUGCAGGAUGAUGCCUCUCUACAGUGGAUGAUGAAGGCAUUCUGGUUUGCAAACUCAGGAGAGGAACAAAGAACAGAUGUUGACGGGAUCAUAUCUAGAGAUGCGGGCCUACUACACUUCAUACGAGCAAGUGUGCUAAUAUACAUGAAGACUUGGGUUAUAUUUUUUUCUGAAAACUAGGCUACAACUUUAGUGAUGGAUGCAGAAGAUAUCUACACGAGACUACGUCUUAAAGAUGCCACCCUCAUAUAAUGAAAGAGGACAAUAGAGAUGGGUUUAAACUGGAA
rnacentral:lncRNA from 1 species